rnacentral:sRNA from 1 species
AAGGAGAAGUCGUAACAAGGUUUCCGUAGGUGAACCUGCGGAAGGAUCAUUGCCGUGGAAAAGAACCGACAUGCGAACCCGUUCCGUCACUCUCCGCACGCGGCCGCGCCCUCCGGCCUCGCUCUUCCGCACGGUCGUUGGCGGGGGUCGAGGGGGCGCGACGGGCCGAGCGACAACAACAGGGCGCAUCGCGCGCCAAGCACUUGAAGCGAAAAAGGUUGGGCCCCUCGCCCGUUGCUUCGCCCCUUCCAGUCGGGGCGCGGCAUCGACGCGGGGGACCCUUCAGAACGACUCCGAUCGAAUACGACUCUCGGCAACGGAUAUCUCGGCUCUUGCAUCGAUGAAGAACGUAGCGAGAUGCGAUACGUGGUGUGAAUUGCAGAAUCCCGUGAACCAUCGAGUCUUUGAACGCAAGUUGCGCCCGAGGCCACUCGGCCGAGGGCACGCCUGCCUGGGCGUCACGCCCCCGAUCGCUCCCCCGCGGCAUGGCCUGCCCGGGGGGGGCGGAGACUGGCCGCCCGUGCGCCACUCGAAGGCGAGCGGUUGGCCCAAAUGCAGGUCAAAGUGCGGUGCGGCGCGACGCGUGGUGGUUUAGAGCCGCGAUCGAUCGCGAAUCGGACGCAGUGCCUGCGUCACGUCGCACCCGUGCGACCCGUGGGACGCAGCUUGCCCGUUUCGGCGGGCACUCGGACCGCGACCCCAGGUCAGGCGGGACCACCCGCUGAGUUUAAGCAUAUCAAUAAGCGGAGGAGAAGAAACUUACGAGGAUUCCCC